UUAGAUACCCCACUAUACGGAGCUAAAAACUCGCAAUGAAGCACUAAAACCCUCAGGUUAAAACUUAAAGAGCAUGGCGGCGAGCCUAAUUUUCAGGGGAAUUUACCAGGUAAAUGACAACCCACAUGGUGCCUUUCUUAAUCUAACAGUUUGUAUGCCGCCGUCUUCAGAUAACACCUAAGGUAUUGUCUACUCUCUAACGGAGGAAAGACAGGUCAUGGUGCAGCUAAUGGCUAAGUGCUAGGUGAGUUACAGUAGCAUCUUACUUCCGCUAUAAGGAUUAAACUUGCCUUAUAAAAGAUGGACUUGAAAGUAAUUUUUAAUACGGAGAAAACUUUGAAUUCAGAUUAGGUUCGUGCACACACCGC
rnacentral:rRNA from 1 species